rnacentral:lncRNA from 1 species
UAAGUUUUAUUUUUUCGUAUUUUUAUUCUACUUUAGAAAGGUUUCUCGGGAACUUUUCGGUAUUGAUUACGUCAUGAACGAUUUUGACCCAACACAAGUACUACAAUUGAAUUUCUUAUUUGAGAGAGUAAAAUUCACUCCUUGGGAUAAUUUGAGUGAUAUCGGUCCUCCUCUGGUACGUGUGCAGCAGCGAAAAAAAAUCAAAUUGAUGAGAAAGACGACAGCGUGAGUCCUGCGGUUAUUUACUCCUUCAUGCAAGCAGAUGGUCUUACAAAGACUGUUGCAUAGAUGUUAAGUGAAAUUCUGAAAGCUAAGACUAUUGCGUAGAUUAAGUGCAAUUCUGAAAGCUAAUUAACUGUGUGAGUUGUAUCAUCAUAUUUACUUACAAAAUUUGUUUGACACAUGAAAAUUUUGCUACCGUACCGUGAAGUGUUCUUAUGUUAGUGUUGUAUAGGCAAAUACGGUUAUUGAUUUAUGCAUUGUAGAAUAUUGCGAAGGUUCAUGAUAAGAUAUAUAUGUUAGAAGACAUGUCUUAUUUUAUUUCAAUAUAUGUUACAUCAGAACAAACUAGUUCCAUGAUAAGACAUAUAUGUGAGAAGACUCUACUAACAAUAGCACUACGUCUC